UUUAUCAGAGAGUUUGAUCCUGGCUCAGGAUGAACGCUGGCGGCGUGCUUAACACAUGCAAGUCGAGCGAAGCGCUUAAACGGAUUUCUUCGGAUUGAAGUUUUUGUGACUGAGCGGCGGACGGGUGAGUAACGCGUGGGUAACCUGCCUCAUACAGGGGGAUAACAGUUAGAAAUGGCUGCUAAUACCGCAUAAGCGCACAGGACCGCAUGGUCUGGUGUGAAA
rnacentral:rRNA from 1 species